rnacentral:rRNA from 1 species
GACAUAGGUGGCGAACGUUAUCCGGAAUUAUUGGGCGUAAAGGGUGCGUAGGUGGUUUACUAAGUUAGUGGUGGCAAAUCGAGGCUCAACCUCGUGGAAGUUACUAAUACUAUUAAACUAGAGUGUAGGAGAGGUUAAUGGAACUCUAUGUGGAGGGGUAAAAUCCGUAGAUAUAUAGAUGAACACCAAGCGGCGAAGGCAGUUAACUAGCCUAAUACUGACAUUGAGGCACGAAAGCGUGGGGAGCAAAAAGG